GAUGAACGCUAGCGGGAGGCCUAACACAUGCAAGCCGAGCGGUAGAGAUUCUUCGGAAACUUGAGAGCGGCGUACGGGUGCGGAACACGUGUGCAACCUGCCUUUAUCAGGGGGAUAGCCUUUCGAAAGGAAGAUUAAUACCCCAUAAUAUUUAGAAUGGCAUCAUUUUAAAUUGAAAACUCCGGUGGAUAGAGAUGGGCACGCGCAAGAUUAGAUAGUUGGUGAGGUAACGGCUCACCAAGUCUACGAUCUUUAGGGGGCCUGAGAGGGUGAUCCCCCACACUGGUACUGAGACACGGACCAGACUCCUACGGGAGGCAGCAGUGAGGAAUAUUGGACAAUGGGUGCGAGCCUGAUCCAGCCAUCCCGCGUGAAGGACGACGGCCCUAUGGGUUGUAAACUUCUUUUGUAUAGGGAUAAACCUUUCCACGUGUGGAAAGCUGAAGGUACUAUACGAAUAAGCACCGGCUAACUCCGUGCCAGCCGCCGCCGUAACAC
rnacentral:rRNA from 1 species